GCACUGUCGAGGAGUCCCAGAAUAGGACGAAACGGUUGUCCAGUGC
rnacentral:hammerhead_ribozyme from 1 species